UCAUAGAUUAAUUGAUUGAGGAUAAUUAUCUUGACCAUCUUCUAGUACAUUCUUUCUACUUCCCACAAGCAAACAAACAAAACAAACACACACACUUGUUGUCGUGAUGGAAACAUCAGGUCCCUCAACUUCAACUAACACUCCCUGACCUCGACCCUCCCUCCGCUGUUUCCGUUGCGCUUGUUUCAAACGUUGUUGUCGCUGUUUCUGUUGCUUCUACUCCUCCCCAUAGGUAAAUUUUCACUUUAUUGCUUAUCCUAUGUUUCAUCCUCUUUCAUUAUCCAUCUUGUGGUAUCAUGUUUCUUCCUACUAAAUUAUAAAUGUAUAUUUUAUGAGAAAAAAAAUGUAUCCUAUAUAUGAGUUUGAUACCAUCAUCAUAUUCAUGUACAUGUAAAUCUUUUUACAAUGACAUUACAUAGAUACUACUCUUUUAUUACAAUAAAUGGCAUAUGCACUUGUUUUAUGUUACAAUUUUAGGAUUUCUUCGGUUUAAAUGUGCUGUGUGCCAAAUGAUUUUGUUUGGUAAUUUCUACCUCUGUUUUCUGUAAUAUGUCUUAAUAUAUAUAAUCACAUUUGACCAAAUAAGGUUAUUUUAUUCUUUUUCUUUUAGCACAUAGCUGAUAGCCCCAUUAGUUUUUUUCUUCAUUCUUUUAAUCAAAUAAGCUUCUGCGUCACAAAUGAUUGUGCAGUCCCCUCCUGAAAUUUUAAAUUUUUGUAACGGGAAAGAAAUAAAGUGAACUUGCUGUGUGAUUGAGAAUAGUAUGACCAAGUUUGCAAUGAGUUAACUCCAUAGGUGUUUAUUUUUAUAUGUACUAAAUUGGACCCUUCGAUUUUAAAAUUGUUUUUUCUGCUUUUUCAAUGUCUUACCUAUUCUAAUCUUAAUGAAUGUCAAACAAACAGUAAAUGAACUAAGAUGUCCUUGUAACAUCUUUAUAUUUUCGGGUUUAAGAAUACAUUAAGGCCAAGAAAAUGGUGGAUUUAGUGUUUUAAAUUGCGGUCAUGGUUGCGAUUACUGUGAUCAUGGUCGUUGCAAUUAAAAAAAAUAUUUUUGCAUUUGAGUGGCCCAAAUGCGGUCUGAUACGACCCAAAUACAGUCUGAUGUGGUCUAAAUGCAGUCUGAUGCAGUUGCAAUGCGGUCCGAUGUGAUUGUAUCACUGUGAUUGGUGUCACACCGCAAUUGUGUUGUAAUGCGGUUGCCGUGGUCACCUUAACUAAAAUAUUGCGGCCAUAUCACAUGAUGCGGUUCGCAAUUUGAUUCACCGGAUUGAAAAAAGUAGUCUUGGAAGCUAUAUGAGAAUAUAAUAAGGAUUAAGUUUUGGGUGCUUUCAAUAUGUCCUAUGAUAGAAGGUUGAAUUUUUUGAGCUACUAAGAACAAACUAGAGUAUGAUAUAUUGUUGGUUUGGCACAAUCUAAGAUAUGCAUCAAUUAGAUGCAAGUCAUGUCUUAUGUACUAUUGCCUAUGGGAGUAACUUCUGGGCAUGAGAGCAUGAUAUCCCUAUAUAUAUUAAGUUUAUUCUUGGACCUUAAGGCAAUUGCUAUGUAGUUUCAGUGUUUAAACAAAUUAUUUACCAUUUGGUUUUCUGAUUUUCAUUCUAUUUUACUCAAGUCCCUUUAUUUCAUCCAUAUUUAGGUACUGCAAGGAUAUCAAGAGACUGAUUAGAGGAUGAUUUUGCAAUGAUCUUCAGAAUAAUAAAGAUAUAAAUGAGCUCAGAAAUCAAGUCGGGACAUUUUCUCUUUCUUUUUAGUGAUUUCUUCUGUUUUGUCCCUUGCUCAUAUCUUCACAAUGUUAGCUUCUGUAAAUUAUGUAUGCAUUUAUAAGUGAGGUCAUUGCCAUGUCCAUACACUAAAUUAUGUUUAAAUGACACUGCUUUAGCAGGAAUUAUAAAAAUAAAGAGGUGUUACUUUUUUGUUCUCAUCUUGAUGUCAUUUCAAGCGUGU
rnacentral:lncRNA from 1 species